UACAGAGGUGGCAAGCGUUGUUCGGAAUUACUGGGCGUAAAGGGCGCGUAGGCGGUUUCGUAAGUCCUGUGUGAAAUCCCCCGGCUCAACUGGGGAACUGCACAGGAAACUGCGAGGCUUGAGUUCGGGAGAGGGAAGCGGAAUUCCGGGUGUAGCGGUGAAAUGCGUAGAUAUCCGGAGGAACACCGGUGGCGAAGGCGGGAUCCUGGGCCAGUACUGACGCUGAGGAGCGAAAGCGUGGGGAGCAAACAGG
rnacentral:rRNA from 1 species